rnacentral:rRNA from 1 species
CAGCAGCCACGGUAAUACGUAGGGUGCAAGCGUUAAUCGGAAUUACUGGGCGUAAAGCGUGCGCAGGCGGUUUGUUAAGACAGAUGUGAAAUCCCCGGGCUCAACCUGGGAACUGCAUUUGUGACUGGCAAGCUAGAGUAUGGCAGAGGGGGGUGGAAUUCCGCGUGUAGCAGUGAAAUGCGUAGAUAUGCGGAGGAAUACCGAUGGCGAAGGCAGCCCCCUGGGCCAAUACUGACGCUCAUGCACGAAAGCGUGGGGAGCAAACAGGAUUAGAUACCCCAGUAGUCCCUGUCUCUUAUAC